GUGGGGAAUAUUGGACAAUGGGCGAAAGCCUGAUCCAGCCAUGCCGCGUGAGUGAUGAAGGCCUUAGGGUUGUAAAGCUCUUUCAGUAGGGAAGAUAAUGACGGUACCUACAGAAGAAGCCCCGGCUAACUUCGUGCCAGCAGCCGCGGUAAUACGAAGGGGGCUAGCGUUGUUCGGAUUUACUGGGCGUAAAGCGCACGUAGGCGGAUUGGUCAGUUAGAGGUGAAAUCCUGGAGCUCAACUCCAGAACUGCCUUUAAUACUGCCAGUCUAGAGUCCAGAAGAGGUGAGUGGAACUCCUAGUGUAGAGGUGGAAUUCGUAGAUAUUAGGAAGAACACCAGUGGCGAAGGCGGCUCACUGGUCUGGAACUGACGCUGAGGUGCGAAAGCGUGGGGAGCAAACAGGAUUAGAUACCCUAGUAGUCC
rnacentral:rRNA from 1 species